UACGUAGGGUGCGAGCGUUAAUCGGAAUUACUGGGCGUAAAGCGUGCGCAGGCGGUUGGGCAAGUCAGAUGUGAAAUCCCCGGGCUUAACCUGGGAACUGCAUUUGUGACUGCACGGCUGGAGUGCGGCAGAGGGGGAUGGAAUUCCGCGUGUAGCAGUGAAAUGCGUAGAUAUGCGGAGGAACACCGAUGGCGAAGGCAAUCCCCUGGGCCUGCACUGACGCUCAUGCACGAAAGCGUGGGGAGCAAACAGG
rnacentral:rRNA from 1 species